rnacentral:rRNA from 1 species
GAUGAACGCUGGCGGCGUGCCUAAUACAUGCAAGUCGAGCGAACAGACGAGGAGCUUGCUCCUCUGACGUUAGCGGCGGACGGGUGAGUAACACGUGGAUAACCUCCCUAUAAGACUGGGAUAACUUCGGGAAACCGGAGCUAAUACCGGAUAAUAUAUUGAACCGCAUGGUUCAAUAGUGAAAGACGGUUUUGCUGUCACUUAUAGAUGGAUCCGCGCCGCAUUAGCUAGUUGGUAAGGUAACGGCUUACCAAGGCAACGAUGCGUAGCCGACCUGAGAGGGUGAUCGGCCACCCUGGAACUGAGACACGGUCCAGACUCCUACGGGAGGCAGCAGUAGGGAAUCUUCCGCAAUGGGCGAAAGCCUGACGGAGCAACGCCGCGUGAGUGAUGAAGGUCUUCGGAUCGUAAAACUCUGUUAUUAGGGAAGAACAAAUGUGUAAGUAACUAUGCACGUCUUGACGGUACCUAAUCAGAAAGCCACGGCUAACUACGUG